AGAAGUGGCAGUGGAGACAGAAAUAGAAUGGGUGGGGGGAGGGAUGGGGGAGGAGGAGGUAGAAUGGGAGGAAGAUUUAGUGACCAGGGGGGGAGAAUGGGAGGAGGAAGAGAUAGAGAUCAAGCAAAAAGGAAGGACCCAUUUCAAGGAGCUCCAGAUCUUGGUAGACCAUAUAAUCCGAAGAGAAUUAAAUUAGAUAAAGAUAUGUCCAGGAUGGGAAAUAUGAUAGAAUCGUCAUCAUCAGCCAUCAAUUCUUUACGACGUGGUUGGGUUGAUAUGGACACCAAGGAGCUCAAUAAAAAGGUGGAAUUUCUCAUCAACCAACAGAUGAUGUUGAUAGAUAAACAAAGUCAAAUGGCAGAAUCUUUAGAGAGAAGAGAAAUAGACAUGCAUGGUGAAAUGGAACUCUUAUUGAAAGAGAGAGCUGACAUGAUGCGACAUUUAGAUGAGACCAUGAGAUUUGGAGGAGGAGGAGGAGGAAGAGGUUUUGAGGAUAAUUUUGGUCCACCAUUACCAGGUCCAAUGGGUCAAAUGGGACCACCAGGACCAAGAUGGAGCAGAGACAAUAGAGACAACUCGUGGAUCAGUCCUGAAGAAUCAGUCAUGAGAUUUACGGAGUACCUGUUAUUCUUUCAGCCUAAAUCAAACAAUGCUCAGACACUUGUUAGAGCAGUUGUUAGCUCACGUUUGAACAUUAAAGUAGAAAUGAGAUAUAAAGAAAUAGAGCGUGACGGAGAAAAGGUCUUCAGGGGUCAUCUUUUAUUGGGCUAUUUUGUAUUGCAACAUGCUUACAAGAAAACUCUAGAUGAGCUUAGGAGCUAUCUUUUUGAUCGUUCUGUGUACACUUUGAUGACUAAAACGCUUGGUUAUAUUGCUGUUAACAGUAACAGAGUUAUGGAAGCAAAGAAGAAUGAAGAUCGUAUGAUUAGGGGCGAUGAGAUGUGUGAAGUAAAUGGAAGCGAUGCUGUCAAGAUUUGGAGUAGUAAACCAGAUCGUGAACGUCAUAGAACAGAUUCGACAUCAAAAGAUAAAGAUGAUGAAAAGUCUGAAGCAGAUUCCGCGAAAGAUGUUAAGAAAGAAGAACCUGAAAGUGAAGAUGUCAAGGAAAUAAAACAGGAAGAUGCAGAAAUGAAAGAUGGUGAGAAAGAAACAGAAACUAAAAUGGAUAUCAAACAAGAAGACAACGAGGAGAGUAAAGAGGAGAGUAAGGAAGGUGAUGAUUCAAAGAAUCUUGAUGAAUCAGUGGAUGGAAGUAAAGAUGGAGACAAAGGUAGUAGGGACAGAGAUUCUCGAGAUAGACGGGACAGACGAGACAGAGAUAGGGGGGACAGACGAGAUAGAUCGCGGGACAGAGAUCGUCAUGGUCGUCAACGAAAACCACGCUCUGAAUACAAGUUUUUCAGUCCUCGACUACGGGAGAGAUUAGAGAUGAUGAGAGAUGAACUACCAGUUGGACCUCAUAUUCGAUCCAUACAUGAUAUGAGUUACGCAGCUAAAUGUAAUAAUGUAGGUAUUACACUCACCGUGUAUAAAAGAAGACCUGAUGAUCAUCUAUUGGAGACCUAUGAUGCAGAAUUGUACGCCGAUGAAAUAUUUUUGGGUAGGGGCCAUGGUAGAGAUGUCAGAGAGGCGCACAAGUAUGCGUUUAUUCACAGUCGAGAUGAUAUCCUUGGUGCUCCUAUGAAUGAGCUACUCUCAACCCGCAAACGCUUAAUUGAACUAAAUUUAAAUGACCCUUUGCUUCUUGAUAUUCAGUAUCGUGGACCUUUUCAUGAUGUAGGUAACAACAUGAGUAAUUUAAAGAUGGCACGGGAAUGGCCAUUAGAAAAGGAAUCAGAUAUCGCUGAUAUUAUUAUAUUAGAAGAUCAGGAGGAUAGAAAGAAGAAUUAUUAUAAAACUCUAGAAAUUAGUGCUACACAGAAUGGUAUGAUGUUGGAAUGGGUACGAUCUGGUCGAGAUGACACUAUGCCUCAUAGGUAUCCAGAAAUCUUCCAGGAACAGGGAAAACAGGUUUCAAAUCUCCAUGAGUCACCAUUUUUCGUAAGACAAGAUUAAUCCGACAGAUGUCAGUUGUAUUUGGAGAAAACAAAAAUAGCAGAUGUCAAGUCACCAAAUAAACUCAAAGCUAAGAAUAUGGCUGCUUUUGAAGCUCUUCAACUGCUGAAGAAAACUCAAACCAUAAUAAGAUAUUCAAUAGAUCCCAACAAGAAGCCUCUGUUUACCUUCAAUGAUUUGAAAGAACAAGCCAGAUUAAGACAUGAAGCAGAUAAAGAAAAAAAAGCUGCGGAAGGUGGUGAAAAUCCAGCAGAAGAUGAGACAACCGAGGUGAAAGAAGAAGAAAGUGAAAACAUGGGCGAGGAGAAGGAAGAAGCAACAGAAGAAGGAAAUGAUGAAGAAACUGGUGGAAAGACUGAAGAUGCUAGUGAAAAAGGAGAAGAUGAUAAAGAUGAGAAUAAGGAAGAUGGUGAUGGAGACGAAAAAUCUGGUAAAAGAAAAGAAACACGAGCGGAAAGAAAAACAAGACAUUAUAAAGAAAGACAGAAGGAAAGAGAAAAGGAAAGAGAAAGAGAAAAGCGACAUGAAUAUCUGGAUAAAUAUAUGGACGAAAUUAUCGGGGAAGAAAUUGAUAAAUAUCUGGCUACAGAUGAUAUGGAGGGUAUUUUACUUGGGUCAGACUUGCCACAAAAUACAAAGAGAAAAGUGAGCAAUAUAGCUGUAGAAAAGGGUAUGUUAGUGAUGCCAUGUGGAUCUGAUGAUGUCAUAUUACUCAACAAAGAAACAUACCUAGCUCCAAACAUGAUGAGAAGAUUGCAGGAAGCUGGUAAUCAAAUAGGAAGAUACCAGAUCAUUCAACUGAAAGUUGAGGGCUCUGAUAAACCUCUGGUAUUAAUUGAAGAAGAGGAAGAUGAUGGAGAAGAGAUAGAACAUGGUGACGACCAUAAAGAUGAUAGUCAUGGUCAAGAUGAUGCUACACCCAAGAAGGUUAAAAAGACGAAAGAAGGGGAUGAAGAAGUUGAGAAAAAUGGGAAUGGGGAAGUGGAAUCCAUGGAAGUCGAUAAAUCUCAAUGAUGACAGAUUGUUGGCAAAUUAUUGUCUUUAUCUACAUUUAUAGUGAAAAAAAAAAAUCCCAUUAUGUUCUUUUGAUGUAGAUAGAUUUCAUUGUCUUGUGCAAAUUAAACUUUGAAAUAUUUCAUAAAAAUCAUUUCAAAUCAUUCUCUAAUUUUAUCAUUUUAUAUUCAUCAUUAAAUACAUAGAUUAUAAUCAGCUUGAUUUCAUUUUAUUUUCAUAUUGUGGGUUAGUUUAACAUUGUGUACUGUUUGCUAUUUUAAAAGAUUUUGUUCAUUUAGUUAUUUUUUUGUGUCUGGUAUUAUAAUAGAAAGAUGGAGAACAUGUCCUUUUUAGGUGUAUCGUGCUAUUACUACUAUAUUCCAUCCACACUAUAUUCAUAUUAUUAACUGUUUUAGAAAGAUCGAGAGACAUUCCUUGAUGAUUAUGUAAAUAUUCAGUUGUAGUUUAUGGUUUUUCACAUAUUUCAUUGUUAGGGCUGCAGCUAAUUACAUUUUCUAAUGGCAAUUUUUAAAAAAAUGGAUACAAUUAUGGAAAUUCACUAAUGUUUAUACAAAUAGAUAUUUGGUUUAUAUUGUAUGGUCUAUAUCAAGAGUUUUAUUCAUAGUUUAUUGUACACAUUUAAACGAAAUUCUAAUUCAGGUAUGUAUUUUCACUAUUGCAGCCAUAUGAUAACUAAUGUAUUGUUUGAUUCGAGAUAGACAUCAGUAUUAUAUUUCAGUAAUCAUUGUCUCAGUAAAUAGUAGAAUUGGUGAUUUUUGUGAUUUUAAAUAACUUGAUAUAUUUAUGAAAGUGAUGAAGAUAUUAAAUUGUCUGUCUUCAUGUACAUGUUAUAUAAAACCCUUCAUUUUACAUACAUCAUCUUAAAACACCUAUGUUUAUUUGUUACCAAUAAAUAUAUGGAAUUAA